UAUGUAUUUAAGAGACAUCGCUUGUUGGAGUUUGAUGCAUCCUCACUGAGUGGAUCUGUCUCUCUAUCCAUUCAUCUCAUAAAAUGUAAUUUUACCAUAAAAUGCAUCAAUGUCUAUUUUAUUUCUCAGCCCUUUAAUUGAAGAAGACCAAACACGCACGUACGUGCGCGCGUCACCUUGGUUUUGUGGUGAGUUUCCAGCGCUCUGCUCUGACUGGACCCCCCGGGAUGCACACUGACAGUUAGGAUGGCUGUGCAGUAUGUGCAGGGCAUUUGGAGUGUGUGUGUGUGUGUGUGUGUGUGUGUGUGUGUGUGUGUGUGUGUGUGUGUGUGUGAGGGAAUUAUGUCUUCACCAAACCGGAGCUGCACGUCGCCUCUCUUCCGUCUCAGUGCUGCACAGGAGGGAAUAAUGUGUUACGUCUCAUCAGCGGGAAGCCGUGACAUCUUCAGUGUGCUUCUAGCUUCACCGACCCAGUGUGUGUGUGCGUGUGUGUGUAUGUGCGUGUGUGUGUGCGUGUGCGUGUGUGCGCUGAGUGAAGCAGAUGCUUCACGUUUUUAAGCAGCAUUCUCUGUAGUGACCAGCAGGGGGCGACUCCUUCACUCCCUCAGUCUUAGAAAAUGACAAAAAGAACGUUCUGCCUGGACGUUCCUCCAACCCGUAGUGUGUCUGUGACGCGCACGUCUCCUCCUCUCCUUGUUGUGACAUCAGCAGAAGAAGACACUUAAUUGUUAUCAAACACAUUCAUUUAACACACACACACACACACACACACACACACACACACACACACACGAAGAUGGAGUGUUGGCACAUUCACUUGCAUGUUCCCUAAUAUUAAAAGUCUUGAAUCCGAUCUCUUCAUCUUUCCUCUCAACGUGACGUUCCUCAUGUCCUUUAUUUAAUUAAGCGAGUUUAAUUAAAUUCAAUUCAUUUUAUUUUGUGGAGCUCCUCCGUGCCGAUACCCUCACAUGGUUCACAGAGGUGGUCUCCUUGUUUUACACCUGAAUGAUUCCACAGUAACCAGGAGGGACGUGAACAUCCAUGAAGAGACACGAGAGCAGUAAACAAAGUGUUGCUGCGCCUCUUAUUGAAUUGUAAUUGUACUCGUUACUUAAUACGACUUUCCUCUCUGAAGAUGUGAUGAAAGAGCCUCGUUGAGUAUUUACAGACCUUCACCGGGUCGAACUGUUCAGAUUCUGAUCAAAGUGCUUUCAGUUUACUCGUGACUUUCUGUACACGACCGCGCCGUGAUUUAAUAACGAGCGAAUGAAAUCUCGGUUCGGUGACGUAUCGCUCGACUUCUCUCUCGUC
ensembl:lncRNA